CACUGGCUGGUAAUCUUGUCUAUAAAUAUACCCCCCCUCUUCAGACAAGCUCGUAAUAAAUGAGGGAAAUUAUUACUUUACACAAACCUGAAAUUUCAGCAUGGAUUGUUGUGUGUUAGGUAUCUAGAAACAUAAAAAUCCCACUUUGAAUAAAACACAUCUGAAGAGCUGCUCCACUUGUGAAAGUGCCCUUACUCUGCAAGUUGCUGAUAUAUCUUCCCUUUUUAGCUUUCAAUUGUCUUCUGGCAUUAGAAUGAAGAAAUUGGAAUCAGACCAGCUGAAGGAAAGCCUUUUCUGCAGCCUGCUAAACACCCAGGAAUGACUUAAGAGAAGCCCCACCAGUACAGGUCUCAGCACAGAGUAAGGGUAAGCCAAGCGUACCAUGGAUAAGGAAGGUUCAUGCACUAGACCAACAGAAGUAUUAGUGAGGGUUUGUCCUUUGGCUUUUAGAGUUCUGUCUUGAUUGUGAAAAUGUGGUUGAAAGUUGAAUUUAGCUCAAGUUUGGUUAAAAUUAUCUUGCCCUGCCUGACCUGAAAAUUCUUGCCAACUACAAAAUACAAAAUUACAAAAUACAUUGUCUUUUGCAGAAGCCUUGGAAAUUUCCCUGAAAUUCUGGGCUGGCUGCCUUCCAGCUGUGAACCAGCUGUGGGGUUCCAGCCCUACAGUGCUAACUCCUCCAAGUUUAUUUUCCAAGUGAUCCAUGCUUGUCUCAAAUAGACUGUACACAAAGAGUGGUUUGGUUACAAAAGAUUUUGAGAGCAAUCCAUACAAUAAUCUGAAUGCAUGCAAGAAUGUUAUCCUGUAGCUGAAUUUAGAGGAAAAAGCCCAUCCACUUUUACAGCAUGAGCUAAUGUUUACUAUGAUUAUUAUUAGUGGACAAAUAAAGUGACCAUUUGCAGCUGACAGAAGUUCAGAAUAAAUAAAAUCAGUCUGAGAUCUGAACCUCAAGUGAUCUGCUUGGCAAUGGUGCACUGAUGGUACACGAUUCUCAUCUGGCUGUGUUUUAUGUGCUCUUUACAAAGGUAUCAGUGACCACCUAGUGUGCUAAAUACUGGUCACUCAGGCUUUGGAAUUCAGUUCUUCUCACUAAACUGCCUUCAGGUUUUGAAAAAUCUUUAGGUCUGUAUCGAGGUCCAUUGAAGAGACCCCAGAAGUGACCUGCUCCUUGGAAUGGUUCUUGGCAGUGACAACACUUGUGUAUGACUGAAUAAGAAAACUGAUCCAGAUGAAUGCACUUACAACAUGCACUGCAGAAUCAGCUGAAUCCUUUCUAGACAAGACUUGGAAAACAGUUAAAAAUCUGAUGAAUUUGGCUGCUUUCAAUGGCUCGGAUUGAGUGCUCCAUGAAGAAAUUCCAUUGAGACAUCCUCAUUUUCAUCCAGCCACUGAAUGACAAAUGGUUCAAACCACCUGAAAAUUAAAAGCAAUUUUGUAAAGUAAAGCUUGCAGCAACAGAAACUUACAGCAACUGCAACCACAAUGAAAAGUGUGUGGAAUUGUUCCUCCUCACUGGUACAAACCACAGAGAUGGGAACCCCCUCAAGAAGGCCUCCAGUGAGCAACAGCACUGAGGAAAAAAAUAAAAUCUUCUCAAAUGUUAUUUGUUUAACCAAGAAUGAAGAGAGAUUAUUUUUAAAAGCUAUUACAGGGAUGCAUUAAUAUAUGCAAAAGAGCUUGGUAUGUGAUGAAAUCAGCAGAGACCUGGUGAUAUUUGCUGUAUCUGGCACAUAAUUCAAUUGCAGGCAGCAGUUCUUUUACAUAAAAACUUGUAAAGAAACAUAAUAGGAAGGACUAUAAUCCAAGGCACUUUCCUCAAAGGCCUUGACCAAACAACAGUACUUUGGAAUUAUGUUUGAUUUUUUGCUGAUUUUUCCAGCAAUUGCUGAAGAAAGUUGAGAAGAUUUUCUUAAAGCAACAAAUAAAAGUCAUAACGAUGACUUACUAAGCAGAAAUACCUACAUACACUAAAGACAAUGUCAUGUAACAAACCGGAAUAGAAUCUUGCUCACUACAGAAUCUUUUUUUUCUUUUUAACCUUGAGGUAAUAACAUUACUCCAAGUUUCCAUAUUAUUUUUGAUAUGUAUUAGUUGUUAUAAAAGGAAAAAAGGGUAAUCUAACAACCUUCACAAAAGAUGAACAUGUUAAAUAUUCAGAUAAUCAAACUGAUAUUUUGUUCAACUCCGAUUUUUCUUAUUUGGCUACAAAAACUCAGAGCAAUUUUUUUUUCUACAGAAGUUCCCAAGCCAGUAUUUUUUAUAAAAACAUGUAGUUAAGCUGCUUGAAGGAUUCUAAUAAGAUGGUUUAAAGUAUAUUUCAAAUCUUUAUGAACAAGAACUUCAAGGAAAUUAGUCUGUAAAAAAUGAACAAAUAGACUUCAUAAACAUAAAAAUAUCUUUCUAAAAAACCUGAACUUGUCCAGUUUUCAGGCUUUAUAGAUAAUGUUUCAGGGAUUAAUAACUACUAUAAAGAAUAUUUAUGUGUAGCAAAUUAAUUACAUCACAACCAGCUGGUUUGACUGACAUACAGUCUACUGCUCUACAGUUUAUUAAACACAAAUGGUUGCAACUAAGCAUAUGGGAUUUGUGUUUGGAUUAGCUGCAAAUUUUCUCAUCAAAACUCAGCUGCUAUUUUCAACCAUUGUGACAUAAUUCCAUAUUAUUUGCAAUAAUUACCUACCAAUCUUUCCAGAGACUACCAGCUGCUAUCUAUUUCUUCCAGAGCUGCUGUUUCAGAAAACCUGCUAUUUCCAAACUUGCAGUCAUAUAAUUGGGAAGGGUAAUUGGGAACACAAAACUGAGUAUAGCUAGAGGAAGCUCUGGCAAGGAAUGAUAUGGACUGGGUAGGAAUUGGUAUUCCUCCCUCUGAAUCACUGUGGGAAUGUUACGCUGAAUGAUGCACCUAUGUUUUGGAUAAAAGUAGAAGUUAAUGCUCAGUGCACCUGAUCCCAGUGCAAUUUUCCCACAAUACAGGAGUGGUUGCUAUGCCACAGCCUCUUUUAAUGUGGGUAUUAUGCCUAUAGUGUUCUAGAUUUAAUCCCUACACUGCUGAAAGAAACCUGGAGCCUCUAAUUGUAUGAACAGAAUAGCAAACAAGCCACAAAUUAAGAAAAAAAAUAACUCAAGGUUCAUCACUGAUUUAGAAGGGAACAUUACAUUCUACUAGAAUCUCAUCCCAAGAUUCUUGUACUUUGCUAAAGGCAAUAGAAGUCACUGGGUAUUAACUGAAAUAGACAGUAGAACAUAACCAAUUGAUAAUUAUGUAUAAUUUAUAUUGAUUUUUAUAAUCUGAAAUACUACUGACCUUUCUGAAAGGGCUUUUUGUGUCAAGAUGAAUAUUAUAAACAAAAACCUGAAAAACUUCUGUCAUUACCUCCUUUUUG